AGAGGGCACUGAAUGCUGCGGCACUCGGGUUAACAGAUGGUAGUGAGCUGUCUGAACUACUUAAAAUUUUCAGGUAAAAGGGCAGCAAGCAUUCUUAAACUGCUGAGCGGCCCUCUAGGUGUUCUUUGCUGGGGCAGGGGAGUUAGCAGGGAGGAAGUGGAGAGAACUGGGAGAGUUGAGACCCUCCUUCUGAGCGUUAAGCUGCAUGUAGAUAAUAUCUGCAGGUGUGGCACAAUUGAAAAGGCAGUGGCUUUCAGGCUAGUCACUGCACGGACUAGUAAGGCAGCUCUCUUGCUCCCAGCACCGUGCAUCUGAUUCUCCGUUCUCAGGUUGGACAUAAAGGACUAUAGAGACCCUGGAGGCUUGAACACUCCCAUCCACCUGCAGAAAGUGAAAAAUAAGGCUGAGUUCUGCAACAUUUCCUGCCUUUCAACAGCAACUAGGACCACCUGACAUGGUUAAACAGCCCUGGCUUAACGUUCCAGACACUGCUGCCAAUACUUGCGGCUGUUAGUUCCUGAUUUCUGCUUAAGGCUUUGCAGUUCUGCUUAUAGUCCUGUGAUCAGAGACACUUCCUCCUGUGGCAGCUGAAUUCCACGUUUCCCGAAACAGGAUUUCCCUAUUUUGUAGAGAACUUCCAUGAUUGAAUCUUCCUGCUUCUGGAAAUAAAAUGGGUAGUCCCUUGCAUACAAAGCUUGGAGGGUGUCUCUCAUUCUUCUCUUCUUCUGCUUUUUCUCAUCUACCUGAGAAUAAUUUUAAAUGGAUCGAAGGAAUGAAUGUCAGCCACCAAACUGAGAAGUUGACUUGCCUUUAAUCACCUGUAACUUUGUUAGAAUAAUAAAUUCUGUAGAAAGC
rnacentral:lncRNA from 1 species